UACGGGGGGAGCAAGCGUUGUUCGGAUUUACUGGGCGUAAAGGGCGCGUAGGCGGCCACCGCAAGUCGACUGUGAAAUCUCCGGGCUUAACCCGGAAAGGUCAGCCGAUACUGCGGGGCUAGAGUGCAGAAGGGGCAACUGGAAUUCUCGGUGUAGCGGUGAAAUGCGUAGAUAUCGAGAGGAACACCGGCGGCGAAGGCGGGUUGCUGGGCUGACACUGACGCUGAGGCGCGAAAGCGAGGGGAGCGAACGGG
rnacentral:rRNA from 1 species